CCCUUAGAUGUUCUGGGCUGCACGCGUGCUACACUGAUAUUGCCAAUAUGUCAUUCUUAUCCGAAAUGGAUUGGGUAAUCAAGUAAUGAAAUUUCAUGCUUGGAAUCGGUAAUUGCAAUUUUAUCGUGAACGAGGAAUUCCUAGUAGACGUAGUUCAUCAGACUGCAUCGAUUACGUCCCUGCCCUUUGUACACACCGCCCGUCGCUCCUACCGAUUGGAUGAUCCGGUGAGCUAUUCGGACUUUCGCAUUGUCGAUUUUCGGCUUUACGAGGGAAAGUCUCGCGAACCUUAUCAUCUAGAGGAAGGAGAAGUCGUAACA
rnacentral:rRNA from 1 species